AGCGGCGGGAUGCCCUUCCGGCUCCGAGGCAUGCUGGGACACGUAGUCCUCUCCUGAAGACGGGGACGAGCGGAAGUCAGAGUUCUGUAAAACUACAAGUUCCAGGAAGCUGUGCGCCCCGGCUGUUCCGGUUGAUAAGAGGAGGCUGUGCUGGGGAGGUGUAGUGCUCAGGACCGUUUCCGCUGCCUGUCCGGGUUUGGGGAGGAGUAAGCUGGCUCAGGUAACCUUGGGAAGGCUCCGGGUACCCGCGCGGCAGCACAACUGAGGACACUCGCUUGCUGAAUUUCCUGGGAACAGUGACUCCGUGCAUGUACUUCUGAGUACAUCUGAGUGUGUCCUUGUGGACAGGUGUGUAGGUAAGAAUGUAGGUGGUCUUGGUGUGCGUACCAGUGUUCGGGAACUCCCGAAACUCCGUAGUCCGGUGUGUGCCUGACCUAGGUUGUAUGGGUGUAUGGGACCUGACCCAGAUUGGGAUUCUUGCUCUGCCAUUUGGGGGCUCUGUGACACGAGCCAAGUUCCUCGAUUUCAUGAACCGUAAAAUGGAGAUGAUGACAGGACCUAGCACGGUGAGGGUUCGUGGAGACUGUGAUUGUAUUGCUCAGGCUAACCUUGUUACUAGUGUGGUGGAGCUGCGACUCGAAUUCAGGACUCCUGCCCCCAAAGAGGCAAGACUGGGCUCCUUUUAGUGACUCUCUUCCCUGCCACAGAUUUCUCAUCUCUGGCCCUGAGGAAGAGAGGUCUCCCCGACAGACUUGGGCCAGGGUAUUUACUGCAACAGUGGCUUCCUGCAGUUUCAGAGCAAACUGAUUUUUUGGUGUAUUGAGUCACUUUUUAAAAUUAUGCAUAAGUAAUUAAAAUAAUUAUACGACAAAGCACGUUUAUAAAGUGCAGAAUCCAUCCCUUCCUUUCAGCCACUGAUCUCAGUACAAAUCCCAGUGUGCACAUAGCCUUCCAGGUUACAAAGGGUGUUGACGUGACACCCUUUUCUUUGCCUAGGGUCUGGGUUUUCAUUGGAUGCCACCUAGGGUAGAGUUGCCAGACUGAGCAAAUCGAAGUACAGGGUGUACAGUCAAAUUUGAAAUUCAGAUAAAUGAAUGAUUUUUUAGUGUAAGCAUGUCCCCAGUCUUUUUAGUAUAGUGCAGUACUGGAAACAUUCUAAAAAAAAUUCGUGCUUAUCUGAAUUUCAGAUAUGACUAGACAUUCUACAUUUUAUCUGGCAACCCUACCCCAGGAUCUGGGGGCUCUUGCAGGGCAUGGAGCUCUCUCUGGGGUUACUAAUUAGGCAUUGUUCUGUGGCCAAUCCAUGGAGGGGAAUGAGGAUGGGCGUCUUUGUGAAGGCCUGGUUCCAGCCACAGGUCACCUCCUCUCUGAAACCUUUGCUGAUUUCUUGCCCUUCUCACCAUGGAGGAGAGGAUUUCUCCUAAGUCUCAGUUUGUUUAUCUGCAGUAUGGAGACAAACUAGUACAGGUCUAAGGUUGUCGGCUGGCUGCCCACCCGGUGCGUACAAAGUGUGCGUCAUGGAAGAGUGAACAUCAGCAGUACCGGGAAACCUCUGUGCUGGUGGUUACUGGUUUUUCUUCUUGAAAAGAGUGUGAAGGGUCACAUGGACUAGGAUUGAUCAUUAAGAGAGUUGGGAUUAAAUUGAACAAGGGCAUAGGCAGGCCAGAGGAAGGUCUGAGAGGAUUAACUGAAAUGGACUCAGUCUUGGGUUCCAGCAUGAGCAGUGGUGGUCAAGGAGAGCACUGGGCUUUAAGCGUCUUCUGGGCUGGAAAGGAGCAGUGGUCAUGCUUGUGGGUGGGCCAGACCCUGGCCUCCUCUGGACAACAGGAUGGGGCCCUCAAGCACUGGAUCCUGGACCUGCGCCCAGUACCACUAACUCAUCGCUCCAAGUGGAUGACCUGCCCACUAGGUCCUGGUGGUCCGCCUUGAUGUCUAGACUCCUGCCUAAACUUGAAUCUCGUCUGUCUUCUUUCUUCCACUGCCUUGGCCUUUAAGGACAGCUUUUCUCAGAGGCUUUUGAGGUUAUAUGAGAAAGGAUGUCAAAGUUCUGGCACUUUGGAAUACCAGGAAGCAUUAUGCCCUACAUCCACUGGGUACCUGGGUUGCAGUGGCCUUCACUCCCGGCUGAAUGGUAGAUGCGACUUUGAGGUCAUGGCCACCUGUCUUCAAGCUACCCAAUCCCCACCCUGAGGCAGACACAGUGGAUGGGAACCAUUUGAAGUGAAAAUAUGAACAUUAUUUAAUAACUGAUCUUCUGUAAUAAACCAUUUGAAAAUAUUUUACAAGGAAUCACACACACGAUAUUUUACAAAGUUUCUUGACUUUUUUGUCACUGUGUUUUCUGACUUGUCUGUACAAAAUAGAACAACAACCAAAAAAAAGGGCGCAGAGAAAAGGAAAUGGCCCCCCAGUCCCCCACAGAUCCCUCGAGCCCGAGGUGAGGGGGCAGCCAGGUCGGGUGGGUGAUGGGAGGGAUCAGACCCAGCUCGGGGUUGGACAACUACCUGAUGGGGUUGUUUGUCAGUUUUCCUGUUUUUUAAACUUAAAAUAUAUAUUUUUCUAUA